GAAAAAUGGUAACACUGCCAUAGAAGAAGGUAUUGCGCCGCCUGGUGGUGUCCCACCACUUCCCACUAUCGCCACCACUUUGGCGUUUCAUUGGCAACAUAUCUAUGCUGUCCACAUAGCCGAUGCCUACUUUGCUAGGCGGCGGCGACUCAAUUCUGGUUUUGAUGUGAUUUAAAGAUGAAAAAGUGCAAAUGGAAAUGAUUUGAUAUUAUUUAAAGGCUUAGAGUGGUGAAGAAGUUAAGGA
rnacentral:misc_RNA from 1 species